GGGCCCUUAGCUCAGUCGGUUAGAGCAGUCGACUCAUAAUCGAUCGGUCGCAGGUUCGAGUCCUGCAGGGCCCACCA
rnacentral:tRNA from 2 species